rnacentral:rRNA from 1 species
GAUUUGUCUGGCUAAUUCCGUUAACGAACGAGAUCUUAACCUGCUAAAUAGUGGCACCUUUCUCCGGAAAAGUGACUUACUUCUUAGAGGGACUUUGACGCCUAAGCGCAAGGAAGUUUGAGGCAAUAACAGGUCUGUGAUGCCCUUAGAUGUUCUGGGCUGCACGCGCGCUACACUGAUGCGUUCAACGAGUAUAUAACCUUGCCAGAUUUGGUUGGGUAAUCGUUUGUAAACGCAUCGUGAUGGGGAUAGAUUAUUGUAAUUAUUAGUCUUCAACGAGGAAUUCCUAGUAAGUGCGAGUCAUCAGCUCGUACUGAUUACGUCCCUGCCCUUUGUACACACCGCCCGUCGCUCCUACCGAUUGUGUGGUCCGGUGAAUAAUUCGGACCUGAUUUGUGUGCAGUUCGCUGCUAUCAAAUCGGGAAAGUCUAGUGAACCUUAUCACUUAGAGGAAGGAGAAGUCGUAACAAGGUUCCGUAGUGAACCUGCAGAAGGAUCA